rnacentral:misc_RNA from 1 species
GAAAUCACCGGCUUAGCCGGUAUAAAAUUCUAUCCACCCUUGUGUGCAAACAAUGGAAAAAAGAGAAAAUUGGAUACUUUUUUUUUUGUAUCCAACUUCUCUAAAAAUUUUUAUAAACUCCAUCAAAUUUUGAAUGAAAACAAUUUUUUUUAAUAGAAAAAAUAUUAUA